ACCUGCCCCCACAGUUGCUAACGAGACAUGUCGAUCGAGCACACUGUGGGGACUGCUCUCGUAAGUGGAGAGGAAGGUGCAGGCAACGAUAGGUCUGUAUGCUCCGAAUCUUCUAGGCUACACGCGCGCAACAAUGGUGGAGACAAUGGGAUGCGACACCGAAAGUAAAGCUAAACCUCUAAACUCCAUCCAAGUCCAGAUCGAGGCCUGCAACCCGGCCUCGUGACGCCGGAAUCCCUAGUAAUCGGCUGUCAACAUCCGCCGGUGAAUAU
rnacentral:rRNA from 1 species